GUGUGUAUGUGUGUGUCUCGGCCUCCGUGCCUUCGGUGAGGCCGGCCCCGUCUCCAGAAGUGCCCCGUGUCCAGUGUCCCGUCCCGGCUGCCACUGGCGGUCCCGCGCUCGCUGUGGGAGGGUGUGUGCGUGGUUCUGGACAGUGACGGGUGGGCGUGAGCCUCUGGCGGGGCACGGCUGCCCGGGCUCCCGGAGGCAGUGAGGCUGGGUGCCGGCCGGCGGCCUCGGGCUUGGGUGGCGUUUGUUCCUCUGGUCGGUCUGAGGGCACCGGAGGAAGUCACAGUCCUGGUUCCCAUGAUGAGUGACGUGGGCGCCCACGUGGCCGCCACGGCGCAGGCAACAGCCCCACUGGAGGCACUCCCUUCCCUUUAAUCCUCACCCGAGGACGUUGGGGGGGGAGAAACGUCCCGCAUGCACCCCGACCAGGGUAUAUGCCCUUGACCGGAAUCGAGCCCACAACCCUUAGCUUCGCAGGCCAACGCUCUAACCACUGACCAAACCGGCCAGGGCGGCCACUGGCUCCUGUCACCGUAGUUGCUGUUGCCCGUCCCUGCGUUUCACGUGAACAGAGCCCGUCGGCGUGGUUUCCCCUCUGUCCCAGCCCCAUCUGUUAGGGAGCCGCUCCCUGCAGCCGGGUGGAUCUGAGGGAGGCGCGAGGUCCUGCCGCUGGGUGCACAGCCUGAUCAGCCCUGGACGCGCGGAAGGAGUGCGCAUCCGUCUUCCCAGGCCAUGAAGGGACUUUUCCACACGCAUCUUGGAAUCUGCUUCUGAACUUGAACAGAAAAGCUGCUGGACUUCUGACAGGAUGGCCUUGACCUCGGGCCGGGGGCGUGGCGUCCUAGCAACGCUGGCUCUGCACUGCUCGGUCCCUCUCCUCGGCUCGCCUGUCAGCAUGGCCGCCCGCGUCUCCCGGAUCCACUCCUGGGUACCAGCUCCCCCUCUGCCUGGCCCGCGGCCGUCCAUCUUCCUCCAGGGGCUCGCGGAUCCGCUGUGACGAGACCCCGAAGGUUGGUCUCUGGGAGUGAGUCACGGGGUGUUUGAUGCCUGAGUGUAAAGGAAGUUGGCACGGGCCGCAGCGCCCGUUCCUGUGAGCGUCGGCCGUGCUGGCGCCUGCAGCUCCCUCUCCGCCGUCUGUCGUGUCUCCGUUGCAGUGAGUUGGCCUAAAGAAGGUGAAGUGUCCGGCUGCAGGCGCGGCGUGGCUGGCGUGGCCUCGCUCCUGAGUGGGGGCUGGGGUCCGUGGGGCGCCCGCCAGGCUGGAAUCUCCUUGUGCCAAGUCUGAAGAACUCAGCUUUUAAAAACGCACGGGACUGUUUAGAUUUUCCAAUUGUUUUUUAAAAAAAUAAAUGUUUGUCAAGGAA